UGGGGAAUAUUGCACAAUGGGCGCAAGCCUGAUGCAGCCAUGCCGCGUGUAUGAAGAAGGCCUUCGGGUUGUAAAGUACUUUCAGUCGGGAGGAAGGUGGUAAGGUUAAUAACCUUGGCAAUUGACGUUACCCGCAGAAGAAGCACCGGCUAACUCCGUGCCAGCAGCCGCGGUAAUACGGAGGGUGCAAGCGUUAAUCGGAAUUACUGGGCGUAAAGCGCACGCAGGCGGUCUGUCAAGUCGGAUGUGAAAUCCCCGGGCUCAACCUGGGAACUGCAUUCGAAACUGGCAGGCUAGAGUCUUGUAGAGGGGGGCAGAAUUCCAGGUGUAGCGGUGAAAUGCGUAGAGAUCUGGAGGAAUACCGGUGGCGAAGGCGGCCCCCUGGACAAAGACUGACGCUCAGGUGCGAAAGCGUGGGGAGCAAACAGG
rnacentral:rRNA from 1 species